UGGUGGAGUGAUUUGUCUGGUUAAUUCCGAUAACGAACGAGACCACAGCCUGCUAAAUAGUCACGGCUAUGUCUGCUCACGCUUGCAUAGCUGGCUGUACUUCUUAGAGGGACUUUCUGGGCUUACCAGAAGGAAGUUUGUGGCAAUAACA
rnacentral:rRNA from 1 species